UGGGGAAUUUUGGACAAUGGGCGAAAGCCUGAUCCAGCAAUGCCGCGUGUGUGAAGAAGGCCUUCGGGUUGUAAAGCACUUUUGUCCGGAAAGAAAUCCUUGGCUCUAAUACAGUCGGGGGAUGACGGUACCGGAAGAAUAAGCACCGGCUAACUACGUGCCAGCAGCCGCGGUAAUACGUAGGGUGCAAGCGUUAAUCGGAAUUACUGGGCGUAAAGCGUGCGCAGGCGGUUUGCUAAGACCGAUGUGAAAUCCCCGGGCUCAACCUGGGAACUGCAUUGGUGACUGGCAGGCUAGAGUAUGGCAGAGGGGGGUAGAAUUCCGCGUGUAGCAGUGAAAAUGCGUAGAGAUGUGGAGGAAUACCGAUGGCGAAGGANCCCCCUGGGCCAAUACUGACGCUCAUGCACGAAAGCGUGGGGAGCAAACAGGAUUAGAUACCCUGGUAGUCCGCGCCCUAAACGAUGUCAACUAGUUGUUGGGGAUUCAUUUCCUUAGUAACGUAGCUAACGCGUGAAGUUGACCGCCUGGGGAGUACGGUCGCAAGAUUAAAAACUUAAAUGAAUUGACGGGGUCAUAGCUGUUUCCU
rnacentral:rRNA from 1 species